UAAAAGCAGGUACGAAAAAAUAGAAAUACAACAAGAACAGUGAAAAGAAGAUGCUUACUCCCAUAGAGCAACCAAGUGGGAAACUGGUUCUAAAUCCUGGGCCAUCUGCAGAGAGAAUAGAGAGACCUUCAGAGCAACAUCAUGAGGAGGUUUGCCUUGGAAACCUGAGGAGAUUUCAAUUUAGAGAGCUUCAGAUGGCAACAAACAACUUCAGCAGCAAGUACUUGGUUGGAUGAUGAAUUGAAGGAUGGAGCAAGUUUCAUGCAUGAUUUACUUUUGUGUAUCUUGUAAUGUUUCUGUUUUUCAUUUUUAAAGUAAAAAAUGUUCAAGAUUAUAAAACUUUAUUAUGUUAUGCUUUCAAAUUUAAGUUAGAACUAAGAUCUCAUGAAGUAGACAUAUUCAUGGUUUGAAUUAGUUAUUGUUUAAUGUAAUACUUGUGGU